rnacentral:tRNA from 1 species
AUUUAGAUAGAUUAAAAAAAUCGUAUCACUGAAGAUGAUAAAAUAGCUCUGCUUCUAAAUA